rnacentral:rRNA from 1 species
UAAGGAAUAUUGGACAAUGGGGGAAACCCUGAUCCAGCCAUGCCGCGUGAAUGAAGAAGGCCUUAGGGUUGUAAAGUUCUUUUAGUGGUGACGAUAAUGACGGUAGCCACAGAAAAAGCUCCGGCUAACUCCGUGCCAGCAGCCGCGGUAAUACGGAGGGAGCGAGCGUUGUUCGGAAUUACUGGGCGUAAAGCGUGCGCAGGCGGAUUUCCAAGUCAGGAGUGAAAUCCCAGGGCUUAACCCUGGAAUUGCUUUUGAAACUGGAUGUCUGGAGUCUCGGAGAGGUUGGUGGAAUUCCCAGUGUAGAGGUGAAAUUCGUAGAUAUUGGGAGGAACACCAGUGGCGCAAGCGGCCAACUGGACGAGUACUGACGCUCAUGCACGAAAGUGUGGGGAUCAAACAG